rnacentral:rRNA from 1 species
AUUGAACGCUAGCGGGAGGCUUUACACAUGCAAGUCGAACGAGCGGCGGACGGGUGAGUAAUAUCUCGGAACGUGCCCAGUAGCGGGGGAUAACUACUCGAAAGGGUGGCUAAUACCGCAUACUAUUGGAUCUGCCGAUAUGGGAUUAGCUAGUUGGUGGGGUAAAGGCUCACCUAGGCGACGAUCCGUAGCUGGUUUGAGAGGAUGACCAGCCACACUGGAACUGAGACACGGCCCAGACGCCUACGGGAGGCAGCAGUGGGGAAUAUUGCACAAUGGGCGAAAGCCUGAUGCAGCCAUGCCGCGUGUAUGAUGAAGGCCUUCGGGUUGUAAAGUACUUUCGGCGGGGAGGCGGUACCUGCAGAAGAAGCACCGGCUAACUACGUGCCAGCAGCCGCGGUAAUUC